rnacentral:lncRNA from 10 species
CUUACAACUAGAGGUGUCGCACACACCCACUUGGGUGCCUCCCCUUCCAAAACCAAGCAGAAAGGCGUCUAGAAAAUUAGAAGGUUUUGCCAGUUGGUGCUGGCGUAGAGGACGUUUCGAAGGCGCUUGGAGCACCCCACCGUUGCACUGGAUGUAGCUACCCCGGCUUGUGAGACCAGGAAAAGACUCUUAAAGGAGGCCUUUGAGCAGAUGAAUGAAUGACGACAGAGUCACCUGUGCAAGAUAUGAAGGAACGGUGAUAUUCCAUACAGAAGGCACAGUAUCUUCAUUGGACUGGAGAGGCACUAUGGAGGAGUUAAAGCAUACAGCAAAUGGAACUGAAUUGCCUGAGCUUGAAGCCUGGUUUCACUGCUCUCUAGCUGUAUAACUGGGCUAGUUACUUAGCCUGUUUGUAUCCCAGUUUCCACCGAGGCUGAAUUGAAUGAAUAUAGGUGAAUGGUGUGGAACAGUGUCCAGCACAUAGUGAGCACUUGUGACCUGCCGCUUCUCCAUCAACAGGUGGUGUCCCCUCACCUUGAAUCUGCGUGGGCUUUUCACACCUUUGUUCAAUACAGCAUGGUGGAAGUAACUCUAUGAGUUACAACACAACAUUCAGCUUCUAUCUGGUCUACCAGAACACAUGCAUUUGGAGCCCUGAGGCCACCAUGCUUGUGAGGAGGCUGAGCCACAUGGGGAGGCCACAUGGAGGUGCUCUGGUCAGCAGCCCUACUCUACAAGCCACCUUUUUAUCCCAGGUAUGAGAGUGAAGCAGCCUCCAGGUAUGAGGAUUCCAGCCCCCAGCCGCUGAGUCACUCUCAGCUUUUAAGCCUUUCCAUCUGAGAACUCAGAUGUCCCAGAGCAGAAUGAACACAUCCUUUUUGUGCCCUAUCCAAAUUCCUGACCCACAGAAUCUAUGAGCUUAUUAAAAUGGUGGUUGUUUUAAG